rnacentral:lncRNA from 1 species
GUCGAGCUUCCCAUUCCAGUAGAAGAACUCCCAGAGUCGGCGAACGAAGUCGUCCAGGAGCCACAGCCUGUGGCUGAGGCCGUUCCCGGGCCAGAGGCCGUGCCUGAGGCUGCUGAGGAACCUGCCCAGGAGGUGGAACUGGCCGAGCCACUCGUAGCUCAAGUACCAACCGCCACAGUGGAUGCUGUCUUACCAGCACACAAGGAAAUCGAGGCCGAAGAGAGCAUAGAGCCGGCCGAGGUGGCUGUGGAUGACCAGGUGGAGAAUGUCGAGCCCAGGGAGAGUGCUUCAGUCGCGAUCCUGGAGGAGGGAGAAAAGUUGGCGGUGCCAGAGAUCGACAGUGGUGCACCGGAUUCCAUUUCUGCGACAGAUCCCAUGGUGGAGGACACACAGGGAGCAUGUCCUGCCAGUGAAGACAUUCACGAGCUUGUGGAAGAGGAGCAAAUCAAAUUCGAUGUGCCACAGCAAGUUUCCGAACGCGAGGUCGAGCUUCCCAUUCCAGUAGAAGAACUCCCAGAGUCGGCGAACGAAGUCGUCCAGGAGCCACAGCCUGUGGCUGAGGCCGUUCCCGGGCCAGAGGCCGUGCCUGAGGCUGCUGAGGAACCUGCCCAGGAGGUGGAACUGGCCGAGCCACUCGUAGCUCAAGUACCAACCGCCACAGUGGAUGCUGUCUUACCAGCACACUAGGAAAUCGAGGCCGAAGAGAGCAUAGAGCCGGCCGAGGUGGCUGUGGAUGACCAGGUGGAGAAUGUCGAGCCCAGGGAGAGUGCUUCAGUCGCGAUCCUGGAGGAGGGAGAAAAGUUGGCGGUGCCAGAGAUCGACAGUGGUGCACCGGAUUCCAUUUCUGCGACAGAUCCCAUGGUGGAGGACACACAGGGAGCAUGUCCUGCCAGUGAAGACAUUCACGAGCUUGUGGAAGAGGAGCAAAUCAAAUUCGAUGUGCCACAGCAAGUUUCCGAACGCGAGGUCGAGCUUCCCAUUCCAGUAGAAGAACUCGCAGAGUCGGCGAACGAAGUCGUCCAGGAGCCACAGCCUGUGGCUGAGGCCGUUCCCGGGCCAGAGGCCGUGCCUGAGGCUGCUGAAGAACCUGCCCAGGAGGUGGAACUGGCCGAGCCACUCGUAGCUCAAGUACCAACCGCCACAGUGGAUGCUGUCUUACCAGCACACAAGGAAAUCGAGGCCGAAGAGAGCAUAAAGCCGGCC